rnacentral:rRNA from 1 species
ACCAAUAAAGUUUUCUUUAUUGGGGUUGCGGACAUAUCAUAACGAAGAGGUAUCGUAAUUGAAGAGGUUUGGAAAGACCCACCACAGAAGGUAAUAGUCCUGUAUGUUAAACGAGAAGACUUCAGAUGUGAUCCAGAGUACCACGGGACACGUGAAACCCUGUGGGAAGCAGGAGGGACCACCCUCCAAGGCUAAAUACUACCUAGUGACCGAUAGCGUAUAGUACCGUGAGGGAAAGG